AUGGGGACGAAGAAGAGAUGCAUCGUUCCUAGCAUCCUGCUGAUGCUAGCACUGCAGUCGGCAGCCCUCCUCGUCGCCGGCGACGUGGGCGCCAUUCUCCUGCCGAGCAAAGGCCAAGUUGCAGACGAAGCAGCCAUGGCGGCGGCCAAGAAGAGGCCGUGGAAGUGCUGCGACAAGGCCUUCUGCACCAGAUCCAUCCCGCCGAUCUGCCGCUGCAUGGACGAGCUCUUCGAGUGCCCCUCCACCUGCAAGUCCUGCGGGCCGUCCAUGGCUGACCCGUCCCGCCUCGUCUGCCAGGACCAGUACGUCGGCGACCCGGGGCCCAUCUGCAGGCCGUGGGAGUGCUGCGACCUGCCCCGGGGCACCAGGUCAAACCCGCCGACGUGUCAAUGCCUCGACGAGGUCGACAAAUGUUCCCCAACCUGCAAGACAUGCCUGCCGUCCAGGUCGCGCCCUUCCCGCCGCGUCUGCAUCGACAGCUACUUUGGACCCUUCCCGCCCGCGUGCACGCCCAAGGCUGUCGCCGCCGGCGGGAACUAG
rnacentral:rRNA from 1 species